AUGGACGGUGCUCGAAAAGUCCAAAAAAGGCAAAACUCGAGGAUUACCAAUCUUAAAGAAGGAGAUGCCAACACCCGCUAUUUCCACCUCCAUGUCAAUCACCAGAGGAGAAAAAAUCUUAUUCAUCGCCUCAAACACAACCAGGGCUGGGUCACCUCGCAUGAAGAAAAAGAAAAGAUUGUUCACAACCACUUUAAGAACAUAGCCAAAAAAGGCCCUACUCGUAGCAUUGAUGUCAAUUGGGGUUUGAUUCCAACCCCCAACUGUGAUCUACAGGGCUUGGGUGAGGCAUUCUCGGAGGAUGAGGUCAAAGCUGUUGUACCAGAACUACUGGGUGACAAGGCGCCCGGACCGGAUGGCUUCACGGGCAUUUUCUUCAAGGCAUGUUGGAACACAAUCAAGCCUGACAUCAUGCUUGCGGUUAAUCACUUCUCCAACCUACAGACCGCUCACCUUCAUUGGUUGAACUCAGCUGAUGUUGCUCUCGUUCCGAAGAAGGAUGGUGCCGAAGAUAUUUCUGACUUUCGCCCUAUAAGCCUAAUUCACGCCAUCGCAAAGCUCAUUGCAAAGAUGAUGUCCAAAAGGCUAGCACCCCUCAUGAAUGACCUUGUCUCACAAGCUCAGAGUGCUUUCAUCAAGAAGAGAUGUAUUGAUAAUUUCAUGUACGUGCGCAACCUUGCUAGACGCUUGCAUCGCAAAAACACCCCUGCUCUCCUGUUCAAACUCGACAUCAAGAAAGCGUUUGACUCGGUGCAUUGGGACUACCUCCUGGACUUGCUCAAUCACCUUGGUUUCCCUCCCCGAUUUCGUGGUUGGGUGCCUGCUCUCUUGUCUAUGGCCUCUUCACGCGUCUUGCUCAAUGGUGUGUCGGGCGACCCCUUCAGGCUUGGGCGUAGGUUGAGGCAAGGGGACCCCCUGUCUCCCCUUCUCUUUGUGCUGGCCGUUGAUCCUUUGCAUCACAUCCUUGAGAAGGCAACAUCACAAGGUCACCUCCAUCCCAUUGGCGGACGGGCUAUGCCGAUCCGGGCUUCCCUCUACGCGGACGAUGCUGCGGUUUUUAUUGCGCCACUCAAGGCGGACGUCAGUUUCUUUGCCGACACCCUCAGGAACUUUGGAGAUGUUUCUGGAUUGGUAACAAAUUGCUCCAAGAGUUUGGUUGCCCCAAUUAGAUGUGUCAAUGUGGACCUUCCGGAUAUUCUUCAACCCUUCCCAGCUCAACGAACCACCUUCCCGAUGAAAUAUCUUGGUUUACCACUGUCAGUGAAGCGCCUGAAAAGAAUUCACUUCCAACCUCUCGAGGACAAGAUCACGGCCCAGCUCACACCUUGGAUGGGCAAGCACGUUGCUGCCCCCGGAAGGAUGGUUCUUGUUAAGUCUGUCAUCACGGGCAUCGCUAUCUAUUAUAUGACGACUCUAAAUCUUCCGGUGGAAGUUCUGAAAAGGAUUGAUGCCCUCCGACGUGAAGGAAAUAUGCCCUAG
rnacentral:rRNA from 1 species